CGGGAUGGACUGACUCGUCAGAGAGUGCGUCUCUGAUCGACGUGGGAUGGACCUCUGUUUGGGUCAAGAUUUGCACCGGUUGGGCCACGGCUGCACUCUACAUCUGGACACUCAUCGCACCCCUCAUCCUUCCGGAUCGUGAGUUCUACUAAAUUGCAAUAUUGGUCAGUAGAGGGCAUCAGUUAAUAUAAUCUGGUGAAUGUAAGUAUAUGUUUAUGUAUUAGCAACUUAAAAAUGGGUAUGGUCUUGUAUGUAGCUCUUUAUCAUAUUCUAUAUACUUGUAAUUAAAAACCUGAAGUAAAAGACCUUGAAUGUUGGUUGUGUUCUUGGAACCUUUGUAUUAUGUAGUGAACUGUUA
rnacentral:lncRNA from 1 species